rnacentral:rRNA from 1 species
CCUACGGGUGGCAGCAGUGGGGGAUAUUGCACAAUGGGCGAAACCCUGAUGCAGCGACGCCGCGUGAGGGAAGAAGUUCUUCGGUACGUAAAGCUCUAUCAGCAGGGAAGAACAUGCCCUUACCUGACCAACAAGCCCCGGCUAAAUACGGGCCAGCAGCCGCCGUAAUACGUAGGGGGCAAGCGUUCUCCGGAUUUGCUGGGUGUAAAGGGAGCGUAGACGGUUAGGUAAAGCUAGGGUGAAAGCCCGGGGCCAAAACACGGGACUGCUUUUGAAACUGUGUAACUGGAGUGCAGGAGGGGCAGGCGGAAUUCCUGGUGUAGCGGUGAAAUGCGUAGAUAUCAGGAGGAACACCGGCGGCGAAGGCGGCCAGCUGGACUGCAACUGACGUUGAGGCGCGAAAGCGUGGGUAGCAAACAGGAUUAGAUACCCGGGUAGUC